UUUCCGUAAGUGAACCUGCGGAAGGAUCAUUAAAGUUAUAGUCCCCCGGCCCCUCCGGGCUGGGGUCUUCUAUACCACCCUUUGUUUAUUACACCUUUGUUGCUUUGGCAGGCCUGCCCUCGGGCUGCUGGCUCCGGCCGGCUCGUGCCUGCCAGAGGACCUAAACUCUGUUUGUAUAUGAAGUCUGAGUACUAUAUAAUAGUUAAAACUUUCAACAACGGAUCUCUUGGUUCUG
rnacentral:misc_RNA from 1 species